GUAGUCAUAUGCUUGUCUCAAAGAUUAAGCCAUGCAUGUCUAAGUAUAAGCAACUAUACGGUGAAACUGCGAAUGGCUCAUUAAAUCAGUUAUCGUUUAUUUGAUAGUACCUUACUACAUGGAUAACCGUGGUAAUUCUAGAGCUAAUACAUGCUAAAAACCUCGACUUCGGAAGGGGUGUAUUUAUUAGAUAAAAAACCAAUGCCCUUCGGGGCUCCUUGGUGAAUCAUAAUAACUUAACGAAUCGCAUGGCCUUGCGCCGGCGAUGGUUCAUUUAAAUUUCUGCCCUAUCAACUUUCGAUGGUAGGAUAGUGGCCUACCAUGGUAUCAACGGGUAACGGGGAAU
rnacentral:rRNA from 1 species